UUUCAUGUAGUCCAAUUCUGAUUAGAUUGACCAGUUCUCCUAUACUGAGCCAAUCAAAUAUUUAACUACUCUUGAUCAUAUGUUUGUCUUCGGGCGUAGGUAUAUGAAUACGUUGUUGAUGUCCGGAGGGAAGUGGAAAGAUUAACACUGGAAGAUAGCUUCUCUAUUUUUACUGUCGUGUUGUAUAGUCCCUGUUUAUUUUAAAAGUUCAUUCGAGUUUUGUCUAAUUUUACAAUAUUAAUAUCACGUAUGGUACGAAUAGUAGAGUUGGUUUAUUCACCCCUUCAUCUUGGUUUCGUUUUUGUCAUACACAGUACGAAUAUUGUAGUUGGUUAAUUCCCCCCUUUCAAUUCCAUCUUGCAUUGAAUUCUGACAAGAACUAUCAAUAAUAGAUUCGAGAUUUUUGUAACCAUCUGGAUUCGUGUACUUGAUUUUAGAAUGAAGUGACUGUCCAAUCUUUAUUUAACAUUUGUUGUAGUCGAAUCUUGUUUAUACUUUAGUAUUAAGUGUGAAUAGUGUGUUAUAAACGGAAACUUAUGAUUUCGCAAUGUUUAGUUUAUUAAGUGUCCCUUGAGGUUCUCAUUUUCGUCUGACAUUUAUUACGUUUGUAUCUUCUGGUUGUGGAAGCUUAUAUGAACUUCGUAUUAUCGUUUGAUGUAUUUUAUCGAUAUCUUACACCGUGAGCACCUACUACGCAUUAGUUCUAAUUUAUGUUCGUUGAUUACACAGUAGUAAUUUUCCUUAGAACACGUACUGAUUUCUGUCGUGGAUUUUUCUUAUGUUCGUGGUAUGAAUAGUUAAAUUCACUAGCCUGUGUCUUUACUUUUGGUGACUCGUUCAAGUUUUACUGUCGAGUUUUUCACUAUUAAUAAUAGAACUCUAAUCCUCUUACUUGUGUCUGCAUAAUUACAGUCGUUUCUUUGUGUAGCUCGAUACUUUAAGUGAACGAUAAAAUAAUGUCGAAAAUACGUGGGUUGGUUUGUUGCUACUUCCCGAGUAGGUAUUAGUAAGUUAUUAAUGUGGUUAUUGUAGUAUGUCCUACGUAUUAACUGUUAACACAUGUCGUAUUUUGUAUUUAACGUACUUGUUUUGUACUGAUGUUUAAUGUCAUUCUUACGAUUAUUAUUCGAUUCCCGGAGAAACUAAGUGUACUAACGUUUUUGCGACCUUAUCUUUCUUAUGGCUUUUAGAUAUCCCAACGUCAACAUUUUGUCUCCUAACUUUUUUUCACUUUUUAUAUCCUUAUACUUUGUUUACCUUGCAAACUUUACGCCCUUGACUUUAGUUUCCUUACGUAAUAAAUCAUCUCUUUGGUACGCGACCAUACGUUGAAACAGGGAGAACGGAACCAGAAACACAUUUUUUCUCCAUACUGGGUUACAAAGUGAGGUACGCUUUAGUGUCCUUUGGUUGUCACAAAGAGACCUAACGUUGUCAUAAGGAAGUAUGACCAAGAACGUUUAGUUUGUAGCGAUGUCACCGUUUAGAAUACCUUACUUUUAAGGAUGCAAAAAAGAUACUUUUUAGGAAGUUUAGUUUCCUCCGGAUUCUGAUUAGGUUGUGACCUGUCUCGUACAUUUGGCCGUCUUCGGGUUGACUUAUAGGUACAUCUUUUAGUUUCAGUGUUUGAUCUCUAGUCUUCCUAACCAUCUAAGGUUGUGUCAUUAGUCGUAGACUUAUCUGGAACU
rnacentral:rRNA from 1 species